rnacentral:piRNA from 1 species
UAACCGAUGAUGUGUUAGUGCGUCGAGC